UACGUAGGCAGCGAGCGUUGUUCGGAGUUACUGGGCGUAAAGGGUGUGUAGGCGGCCUACUAAGUUUGGUGUGAAAUCUCCCGGCUCAACCGGGAGGGUGCGCCGAAAACUGGGAGGCUAGAGUGCGGGAUGGGAGAGUGGAAUUCCUGGUGUAGCGGUGAAAUGCGUAGAUAUCAGGAGGAACACCGGUGGUGCAGACGGCUCUCUGGACCGUAACUGACGCUGAGACACGAAAGCGUGGGUAGCAAACAGG
rnacentral:rRNA from 1 species